GCCGAGGUAGCUCAGUGGUAGAGCACGCGACUGAAAAUCGCGGUGUCGGCAGUUCAAUCCUGCCCCUCGGCACCC
rnacentral:tRNA from 1 species